rnacentral:lncRNA from 1 species
UAAAGAAGAGAAGAUGGAAAAUGGAUUGUCCUUCUAUGUUUUUUUUUUUGUGAGAAAGAUAGCAUACUACCUGCUUCGUUUAUUUCAUUUAGAAAUAAACUUAGCUAGAAAUGUGAAUCAACUAGGAUUCGAACUUGGGUCUCGGGUACCAACCACCAAGCCCUUUGCCACUUGCGCUAGGGUGGUCGGUGAUUAUCCUUCAAUGUUAGCAUGAAAAGCUGUCAUCUUAUAAGACAAUUUGUCUGCAAUAGUGAGACCUAGACUCUGAUAGCAAAUGUCAGAUUUUUGGUGCUAACUAUUAAUUUCAAAAACUCGAGCAGUUAGAAAGAUGUAACCAAUUCACUUAAAACAUAUAGACACAGCGUAUGCAGGUCUCGAUUGUGAUUCGAAGCAACCAGCAUCCUGCCACUUCAAACAUAA